UUCCAGUUUAGGGUGGGGUUUUAUUGCCAUUUAAUUAUCUUCUUCUGUGCAUUGCCUAUUUAUAUACUUUCCCUUUUUAUAAAU